AAUAGAUACCCGGGUAGUCCACGCCGUAAACGGUGGGUACUAGGUGUGGGUUUCCUUCCGUUGGGAUCCGUGCCGUAGCUAACGCAUUAAGUACCCCGCCUGGGGAGUACGGCCGCAAGGCUAAAACUCAAAAGGAAUUGACGGGGGCCCGCACAAGCGGCGGAGCAUGUGGAUUAAUUCGAUGCAACGCGAAGAACCUUACCUGGGUUUGACAUGCACAGGACGCCGGCAGAGAUGUCGGUUCCCUUGUGGCCUGUGUGCAGGUGGUGCAUGGCUGUCGUCAGCUCGUGUCGUGAGAUGUUGGGUUAAGUCCCGCAACGAGCGCAACCCUUGUCCUAUGUUGCCAGCGGGUUAUGCCGGGGACUCGUAGGAGACUGCCGGGGUCAACUCGGAGGAAGGUGGGGAUGACGUCAAGUCAUCAUGCCCCUUAUGUCCAGGGCUUCACACAUGCUACAAUGGCCGGUACAAAGGGCUGCGAUGCCGUGAGGUGGAGCGAAUCCUUGGUAAAGCCGGUCUCAGUUCGGAUCGGGGUCUGCAACUCGACCCCG
rnacentral:rRNA from 1 species